CUUCCGGUGUUCGUCCGAAAGCAAGUUGUACAUGUCGCGGUCUUCUGUAGUCAUUUUUGUUGCCACCCUACACAAAGCAAUGCCUUUUUCUCCAUCUUGUCUCUGAAGAAAUGUCCAAAGUAAAAGGUGAAGCCUCCAACAAAGUUCUCUUCAUUGACCUGGUGUUGAGUCGGCACUUCUACACGUCUCAGGAGAACACUUCAAAUGAACCUUCAGGAGUGAAAGACUUGAAUAGUUAAAGAAGUAGCCGUCCUUGGCCUUCAGCUGGAGGUGAUCAUGGCCGCAGUCCAACAACUUCUCCUGCUCCUGCCGGGACUGGCGUGUAGGGACGGCGGGCGUGGUCAGGACAGCGAGGCGCUGGUAGGAAGGAGUCAAGUCAAACCUUCAGACUAUGUUCCGAAAGAUGUGCAGUGAGUGCAUUUUUUUUAAUUCAAUUUACAAACCCCGUUUCCAUAUGAGUUGGGAAAUUGUGUUAGAUGUAAAUAUAAACAGAAUACAAUGAUUCGCAAAUCAUUUUCAACCCAUAUUCAGUUGAAUAUGCUACAAAGACAACAUAUUUGAUGUUCAAACUGAUAAACAUUUUUAUUUCCGCAACUAAUCAUUAACUUUAGAAUUUGAUGCCAUCAACACGUGACAAAGAAGUUGGGAACGGUGGCAAUAAAUACUGACAAAGUUGAGGAAUGCUCAUCAAACACUUAUUUUGAACAUCCCACAGAUGUGCAGGAUAAUUGGGAACAGCUGAGUGCCAUGAUUGGGUCUAAAAACAGCUUCCCAAAAAAUGCUCAGUCUUUCACAAGACAGGAUGGGGCGAGGUACACCCCUUUGUCCACAACUGCGUGAGCAAAUAGUCAAACAGUUUAAGAACAACAUUUCUCAAAGUGCAAUUGCAAGAAAUUUAGGGAUUUCAACAUCUACGGUCCAUAAAAUUAUCAAAAGGUUCAGAGAAUAUGGAGAAAUCACUCCACGUAAGCGGCAUGGCCGGAAACCAACAUUGAAUGACCGUGAAAUUCGAUCCCUCAGACGGAACUGUAUCAAAAAACGACAUUAAUCUCUAAAGGAUAUCACCACAUGGGCUCAGGAACACAUUAGAAAACCACUGUAACUAAAUACAGUUUGUCGCUACAUCUUUAAGUGAAAGUUAAAGCUCUACUAUGCAAAGCAAAAGCCAUUUAUCAACAACAUCCAGAAACGCCGCCGGCUUCUCUGGGCUCAAGAUCAUUUAAGAUGGACUGAUGCAAAGUGGAAAAGUGUUCUGUGGUCUGACGAGUCCACAUUUCAAAUUGUUUUUGGAAAUAUUCGACAUCGUGUCAUCCGGACCAAAGGGGAAGCGAACCAUCCAGACUGUUAUCGACGCAAAGUUCAAAAGCCAGCAUCUGUGAUGGUAAGUUACCCAAGGCAUGGGUAACUUACACAUCUGUGAAGGCACCAUUAAUGCUGAAAGGUACAUACAGGUUUUGGAACAACAUAUGCUGCCAUCUAAGCGCCGUCUUUUUCAUAGACGCUUAUAUGGACCCUGCUUAUCUUGUCUUUGUAGCAUAUUCAACUGAAUAUGGGUUGAAAAGGAUUUACAAAUCAUUGUAUUCCGUUUUUAUUUACAUCUAACACAAUUUCCCAACUCAUAUGGAAACGGGGUUUCUAUGGAUAUAUAUAUAUAUAUAUAUAUAUAUAUAUAUAUAUAUAUAUAUAUAU